AUUCCCCUAGUAACUGCGAGUGAAGAGGGAAAAGCUCAAAUUUAAAAUCUGGCAGCUUUGGCUGUCCGAGUUGUAAUCUGGAGAAGUGUUUUCAGUGCAGGACCGUGUACAAGUCUCUUGGAAUGGAGCAUCAUAGAGGGUGAGAAUCCCGUCUUUGACACGGACUACCUGUGCUUUGUGAUACACUCUCAAAGAGUCGAGUUGUUUGGGAAUGCAGCUCAAAAUGGGUGGUAAAUUCCAUCUAAAGCUAAAUAUUGGCGAGAGACCGAUAGCGAACAAGUACCGUGAGGGAAAGAUGAAAAGCACUUUGGAAAGAGAGUUAAACAGUACGUGAAAUUGUUGAAAGGGAAACGCUUGGAGUCAGUCGCGUUUGUUAGAACUCAGCUUGGCUUCUGCUUAGUGUACUUUCUAAUGAACGGGCCAACAUCGAUUUCAGUCAGUGGAUAAGGGUAAGAGGAAUGUGGCACCUUCGGGUGUGUUAUAGCCUCUUAUCGUAUACAUUUACUGGGAUCGAGGUCUGCAGCACUUGUGCUUAGGAUGUUGGCAUAAUGGCUUUAAUCGACCCGUCUUGAAACACGGACCAAGGAGUCUAACAUGCCCGCGAGUGUUAGGGUGGUAAACCCUUGCGCGUAAUGAAAGUGAAAGUUGGGACCUCUGUCAUGGGGGGCACCGACGCCCGGUCCAGAACUUCUGUGACGGUACUGCGGUAGAGCGUGUAUGUUGGGACCCGAAAGAUGGUGAACUAUGCCUGAAUAGGGUGAAGCCAGAGGAAACUCUGGUGGAGGCUSGUAGCGAUUCUGACGUGCAAAUCGAUCGUCAAAUUUGGGUAUAA
rnacentral:rRNA from 1 species